AUGUUUGUGUCAGAUUGUCAAAGUGUUGAGUUUACAUAUGCUCUGCGUGGAACAAAUACUUUAUAUUCUCUGAUCAAUAAAUAAAGCUAAAGAUUUCAAUAACAAUCUGUCUUACAUAAAAAUGGAUCCUUAGUAAUGUUGCUGAUGACAAAACCUAGGGAUUAAUGUUCAUGAUCUACUGUAGCACAUGGGCUAAAGCACACAGCACAAGUGCAUUUGGGACAUGU